UAGUUUAACAGUAUUUAUAAAGCACUGAAACCUGCUUUAUAAUAUAAAAAGACAUGAAAAUCUCACUUUUUACAAUAUGGGACCUUUAAUACGUUUAACAGAUUAUUUGAUUAUUGAUCAUAACAAGAUUCUAAAAUUAUAGUGAGUAACUUUAUGAGAAGAAAAUAUCUGCAUUUACAGCAGGCUCAAGCAAACAGCUAUGUAGCAUAGGUCGAUGUAAAAAGGGCAUCAAUGGUACAGCAAACCUUAUGCUGUGUGUGCAUCAGUCAGGAAGCACAACAUGUAGAACAGCAAUGAUCCCAGUGUGUUGUUAGGCAGAGUGGUGUACAGCAGUGGGGGGGGGGGACAGGCAAAGGAACAGCAGCAGUUCUAAAUAGGGGUUUCUGCAUAUUGCAGACAAUUUUGCCCAAAAUCUACCACUCUUCCUGCACCACACCAUCUGCCUGCACUUCACUCUGUACAGCAAUGACACUGGAAAAGAGGAGCGAGCAUUCUCCUUUUCUACAGGAACAGGAAUGUGUAAGCCCUCAGGAAGUCCAAACCAAGAGGGGGAGACCUCAUCACCACCAGAACUUUCAUCUGAGCUACCUGCAAAUUCAAAGAGUCUGGACACAAGCCUAGAUGAGAGCGACACAGAGAUAUGCACCCCUGAAAGGUCACUCUCUGGUGUUGGUGCUGACCCAGAUGUACCACCCCUGAGAAGAACUGACAGCAUAUUUGUAAGGUUGCAUCAUGAAAACUAGUGAGACGCUACACUUUUACAAGAGAAAAUAAACAUAAAGAAUAUUUUUGUCAACAAAUCUCAUGUUUAGAUCCAAACCAACAAUACUAACAAGUAUUAUGUGUGUAGCUCAACACAUUUA